CCUACGGGUGGCAGCAGUGGGGAAUAUUGGACAAUGGGCGCAAGCCUGAUCCAGCCAUGCCGCGUGAGUGAUGAAGGCCCUAGGGUUGUAAAGCUCUUUCGCACGCGACGAUAAUGACGGUAGCGUGAGAAGAAGCCCCGGCUAACUUCGUGCCAGCAGCCGCGGUAAUACGAAGGGGGCUAGCGUUGUUCGGAAUCACUGGGCGUAAAGGGCGCGUAGGCGGGUUUCUAAGUCGGGGGUGAAAGCCUGUGGCUCAACCACAGAAUGGCCUUCGAUACUGGGAGCCUUGAGACCGGAAGAGGUGAGUGGAACUGCGAGUGUAGAGGUGAAAUUCGUAGAUAUUCGCAAGAACACCAGUGGCGAAGGCGGCUCACUGGUCCGGUUCUGACGCUGAGGCGCGAAAGCGUGGGGAGCAAACAGGAUUAGAUACCCGUGUAGU
rnacentral:rRNA from 1 species